GGGGCAGCACACAAGUUGGGGUGGAGAAGAGAGCAAUAAAAGAGGAAAAUCAAACCGAUAUCCAACCAGAUAAAAUCAGUAUACAUAUGCCGUCUUGAAAGCAUAGUUUUAAAAUCUGGUUUGAUUUGGUGGAUCGAUCUAGGAUUCAGCUACUCUGAAGUUGAAAUCGGGUGAGGUUGAUGAAAAAACCAGUCAGAAAUUUAGCUCGAUAAAACUCAAUUGACCUGGUGGGUCAACCCGAUUGAGAUGCUGAGUUUAUAUAUGUAUAAGUAAUCCCAUCCACAAUACAAAAAGAUCAGAGGAAUUUAAGUUCAAGGCAAGCUUUUUACUUGUUUGGCUCUCUUCAUUUCAGAUCUGCAAAUCAAGGAAAGAAACAGAAACCAAGGAGCAACAAAAGCCAAGUUUGUACGAGGGAGGGCCGAAGGGGUAUGGGUUGUGUCUACAACUUGCAUGCCUUUAUUGGUCUGUAGCAGCAUCAAAUGCCAGCCUUCUGGUUUUCCAUGGGUCAAGCCAGUUGUUCUCAAUCGCUCUUUCCAAUUUCCAUGGCUACAUACUUUGCUUUGAAUUGGUCUCUUCUAAAGAGGCCUUCCGAAUUUAUUCUCGUCAUGAUCUACCAUAAAAUUUUCAGAAUUUACAAAAACAUUCCAGGAGAGGGCUCGUAAUGAUCUUUGAUGUGAGAUAUGCUGUGGGGGUCCUGUAUAAGAUUGAGGAGCUGAGGGUUGUUGGGCACAAGGGGAUCUUGAAUCAAAGAAUUCUUGUUCGGCAAGCGAAGUAGAAAAAGUAGCAUUGAUUCCAAACAAAGAGUAAUAAGCGUGCUCGUAUUUGUUUUUAUUGGCUUUAACUGCAAGGGCACGUAAGAGAAAGGCCACCCUUUUCAAGUCCUUAAUUGCGAAGAAAUCAAUAAUUAAAAAGCCAAUAAGAUUGAUCACUUCUUUUA